GACGGAGGAUGCAAGUGUUAUCCGGAAUCACUGGGCGUAAAGCGUCUGUAGGUGGUUUAGUAAGUCAACUGUUAAAUCUUGAAGCUCAACUUCAAAAUCGCAGUCGAAACUAUUAGACUAGAGUAUAGUAGGGGUAAAGGGAAUUUCCAGUGGAGCGGUGAAAUGCGUAGAGAUUGGAAAGAACACCGAUGGCGAAGGCACUUUACUGGGCUAUUACUGACACUCAGAGACGAAAGCUACGGUAGCAAAUGGG
rnacentral:rRNA from 1 species